rnacentral:lncRNA from 1 species
AAAUUUGAGGUAUGGAAGGAAGUUUGCUUACUCAUGAGUUGCUAACAGAUACUCAUGUUCCUGAGUUCAUUGGCAAAUAUCAUUGGCUGUUUUGCUUUUAAAAAAGAAAGUUCUUAGAAAAAAUUAUAAUAAGUAUUGUGACUAAGUAUAAGAAUUUCUGAGAGGCAAGCUAUUUUUCCCUACAGAUCCAGCUUGGGUUGCUUUAGUAUUGAUGCUUUGGACCUAGAAGUUAAAUGCUAAUGUAGUGUCAUUUUGUUAAAAUAGUAUAUCACAGAAAAGCAGAAGAACACAUAUAUAACAUUUAAUUGAUUUUGCUUUUCAUUGCAUCCAUAUGCCUACUGAGCUUAUAUAUAUAUUUCUAUCAAUAUUUUUGGUUUACAGUGAAAUACUUUUUCUUGCUAAUACCAAUCAUGUUUUUAAUUAUACUUAAAGCAUGCCUUUAAAAGCAGUAAUAUAGAGAUGUCAUCAUCUUUUAUCUGUUUAUAUUAAGUGAACUUACAGUGGAUCCCAAUCUGAGAUCUCCUAAAAUUUCCUAGAGUGGGAUUUUGUGUACUGUGACUUUCUUUU